CUCAGAAACUUGGCGUCUCCUCAACUUCUCCAUGGGCUGCUGGAUUUUUGGACUUUUCACAGCAGGCAAGAAGUACUGAAGCCAGUUCUCAAAAAAUUGAGUGCCAGCUAUGCACAAAGAAGGCAUAGCACUGUCACCAGAGACCCUCGAAGAUCAGAAUCACAAGAUUGCCUCAACUCCACUGGCCCUUCCAGGCAUUCUGAGAUGAGGUGUUCAUGAUUGUCACCAUUCCAGUUUUGCAAAGUGAGCCCGCA